rnacentral:rRNA from 1 species
GCAGUUGAGCGCUGAGGUUGGUACUUGUACCGACUGGAUGAGCAGCGAACGGCUUUGUAACGCGUGGGGAAUCUGCCUUUGAGCGGGGGACAACAUUUGGAAACGAAUGCUAAUACCGCAUAAAAACUUUAAACACAAGUUUUAAGUUUGAAAGAUGCAAUUGCAUCACUCAAAGAUGAUCCCGCGUUGUAUUAGCUAGUUGGUGAGGUAAAGGCUCACCAAGGCGAUGAUACAUAGCCGACCUGAGAGGGUGAUCGGCCACAUUGGGACUGAGACACGGCCCAAACUCCUACGGGAGGCAGCAGUAGGGAAUCUUCGGCAAUGGACGAAAGUCUGACCGAGCAACGCCGCGUGAGUGAAGAAGGUUUUCGGAUCGUAAAACUCUGUAGGUAGAGAAGAACGUUGGUGAGAGUGGAAAGCUCAUCAAGUGACGGUAACUACCCAGAAAGGGACGGCUAACUACGUGCCAGCAGCCGCGGUAAUACGUAGGUCCCGAGCGUUGUCCGGAUUUAUUGGGCGUAAAGCGAGCGCAGGUGGUUUAUUAAGUCUGGUGUAAAAGGCAGUGGCUCAACCAUUGUAUGCAUUGGAAACUGGUAGACUUGAGUGCAGGAGAGGAGAGUGGAAUUCCAUGUGUAGCGGUGAAAUGCGUAGAUAUAUGGAGGAACACCGGUGGCGAAAGCGGCUCUCUGGCCUGUAACUGACACUGAGGCUCGAAAGCGUGGGGAGCAAACAGGAUUAGAUACCCUGGUAGUCCACGCCGUANACGAUGAGUGCUAGAUGUAGGGAGCUAUAAGUUCUCUGUAUCGCAGCUAACGCAAUAAGCACUCCGCCUGGGGAGUACGACCGCAAG